CAAAAUGCAGAAAAUACACCCUCUCAUUCUCUUUACUUCUUCGCUUCAAGCGUAAACAGAGAUGAAAUAAUUUAUUUUCUCCCACUCUAAAAUCACAUAAUGGAAUACAUAUCUUAUUUACAAUCAAAAGCAUAAUCACGUUUGAAUGUUUUAAAAGGGAAGAAAUCAUGGGAAUACAUGUACCGGGAAAAUAAUGGUAACGAUGCGGUGAUGGCGGAGACAUUUGGGAUUUCACGACGGUGUGAAGAAGAUGGAACAUUUUUCGUUGGAUUGUGGAGGAAGGAUAAAAACGGAGGAAAUAUGAACGGCGAGUUGGUUUUGGAAUCGAAGGUAUGGUGUUUAGUGUUUCACGGCGACGAGAGUGAAGGGAGAUGACGGAAGCGGAAGGCGCGACAACCAAAGGUGCUGUUGUUGGUAAUGAAUAACAGAGGUGGAAUGAAGAAGAUGAGUGAGGUGAACGGCGGCGCUAUGUUGUUGGGUUGCAUGGAGGUCAGCGGUGGAAGGCGAAAGGAGACGCGGCGGUGGUGGUAGGGAAGAAGGGUGUUUCCGGCGAUGACGAUUGUUUGUCGUUCGCCGGUGAAGACGAGGUUAUGGGUUUUCGGAAGUGAGGACGGUUAAGGAAGAAUAUGAACCAUCUUCUUCUUUUCUGCAGAAGAAGAAGAGUGCGCGGUGGAUUCGUCGGCGAAAGGAACUUUUUGGCGGAUUGAGGGUUGUUGGAUGUGUUUUGUGUAGGCGGUUUCCGGCGGAAGGAGGAUGCGAUUUGAGGUAGGUAUGGUCAUCGUUUUUGUCGCGACGGAAGGUUGGGUUGUGGAAAGAGGCGGAGAUGAGAACGAGGUCGCCGGCGAGAUAGAGGUUGAAAGAGACAAAACGGAGGCGAAGGUUGUGCUGUUUGGUGGAGAUGUGAUUUGGGGAGUUUUUAUGGUGAUGUUGUUGAGGAAGAGAAACAAAUUGGAAUUUAUCAAGAUGAUGAACAGUAGCCUCCCUUUGUAUUUUCUUUUUCUUUUUUUCUUAAAGUUUGAAGGGGUGUCUUUUGUUAGAGAGAGAAGAGAGGACCAGUGAUGUGUCCCCCAAAAAAAUCAGCAGAGUUUUUUCUUUUCUAUUCUUCCCGUUGGAGAGAGAUCUUAGUGUGGAUAUCCUCUCUCUCUUUCUUCCUCUUUUGUUUUUUGUCUCAGAAAGAACCGUUGAGAGUGUGUUAUUGGUAUAUUUUUGCUAGCUGUCACCAGUAGUAUGUUACAGUUGGAG
rnacentral:lncRNA from 1 species